GAUGAACGCUGGCGGCGUGCCUAAUACAUGCCAGUCGAGCGAACAGACGAGGAGCUUGCUCCUCUGACGUUAGCGGCGGACGGGUGAGUAACACGUGGAUAACCUACCUAUAAGACUGGGAUAACUUCGGGAAACCGGAGCUAAUACCGGAUAAUAUAUUGAACCGCAUGGUUCAAUAGUGAAAGACGGUUUUGCUGUCACUUAUAGAUGGAUCCGCGCCGCAUUAGCUAGUUGGUAAGGUAACGGCUUACCAAGGCAACGAUGCGUAGCCGACCUGAAAGGGUGAUCGGCCACCCUGGAACUGAGACACGGCCCAGACUCCUACGGGAGGCAGCAGUAGGGAAUCUUCCGCAAUGGGCGAAAGCCUGACGGAGCAACGCCGCGUGAGUGAUGAAGGUCUUCGGAUCGUAAAACUCUGUUAUUAGGGAAGAACAAAUGUGUAAGUAACUAUGCACGUCUUGACGGUACCUAAUCAGAAAGCCACGGCUAACUACGUG
rnacentral:rRNA from 1 species